rnacentral:tRNA from 1 species
AGGGUUCAAAUCCCUUCUUUCGCU